AGAAUUGACGGGCCCGCACAAGCAGCGGAGCGUGUGGUUUAAUUCGAUGUUACACGAAGAACCUUACCAGGGUUUGACAUGCAAGUGGUAGGAAGCCGAAAGGUGACCGACCCUUCGGGGAGCUUGCACAGGUGCUGCAUGGCUGUCGUCAGCUCGUGUCGUGAGAUGUUCGGUUAAGUCCGCUAACGAGCGCAACCUUCGCUGUGUGUUAUAUGUGUCACACGGGACUGCCGGUCUUAAGCCGGAGGAAGGUGGGGAUGAUGUCAAGUCAGCAUGGCCUUUAUAUCCUGGGCUACACACACGCUACAAUGGCCAACACAAUAGGUUGCUAAGCCGCGAGGUGGCGCCAAUCCAUAAAGUUGGUCUCAGUUCAGAUUGUAGGCUGCAACCCGCCUGCAUGAAGAUGGAGUUGCUAGUAACCGCAGGUCAGCUAUACUGCGGUGAAUACGUUCCCGGGGCUU
rnacentral:rRNA from 1 species